AUUGAACGCUGGCGGCAGGCUUAACACAUGCAAGUCGAGCGAGCGGCGGACGGGUGAGUAAUGUCUGGGAAACUGCCUGAUGGAGGGGGAUAAAUACUGGAAACGGUAUCUAAUACCGCAUACCCUCAGUUGUGCCCAGAUGGGAUUAGCUAGUAGGUGGGGUAAUGGCUCACCUAGGCUACGCUCCCUAGCUGGUCUGAGAGGAUGACCGGCCACACUGGAACGGGUACACGGGCCAUACUCCUACGGAAGGCAGCAGUGGGGAAUAUUGCAGAAUGGGCGCAAGCCUGAGGCAGCCAGGCCGCGUGUGUGAAGAAGGCCUUCGGGUUGUAAAGCACUUUCAGCGAGGAGGCGGUACUCGCAGAAGAAGCACCGGCUAACUCCGUGCCAGCCGCCGCGGUAAUUC
rnacentral:rRNA from 1 species